AAUCGUUCAAGAUUGGUUCGCUAAGAACUUUUCAUUCUGCCAAGCCUGAUUGUUGUAAUCACGCUCGGUUUGUUUCAAAAAGUCCGAGUUCGAAGAUGUGCCAUAUCUUUCCAGGAGUUGUAAAUGCGAUCCUACGUCCAUGUAAAAACUUCAUAUAGGUGCACUUUUUAGGAUGAAAUAAGACCGCUGUUCUACUUUCAUUGGUUUUUAGAUAAAGAGGUAAUUAAUAGAAGCAGUUUGGGGGCAUUAGUAUUACGACGCGAGAGGUGAAAUUCUUGGACCGUCGUAAGACUAACUUAAGCGAAAGCAUUUGCCAAAGAUGUUUUCAGUAAUCAAGAACGAAAGUUAUAAGUUCGAAGGCGACCAGAUACCGCUCUAUUUGCGGUGAUUCGA
rnacentral:ncRNA from 2 species